UUGUUGGUAGCAAUACUGACAUGAGAGUGGCGCACGGGUGCGUAACACGUAUGUAACCUGCCUUUAACUGGGGCAUAGCUUCGAGAAAUCGAAAUUAAUACCCCAUAAUGUAAAGAAGAGGCAUCUCUUUUUUACCAAAGCUCCGGCGGUUAAAGAUGGACAUGCGGUGCAUUAGCUUGUUGGUGAGGUAACGGCUCACCAAGGCUUCGAUGCAUAGGGGGUCUGAGAGGAUGAUCCCCCACACUGGUACUGAGACACGGACCAGACUCCUACGGGAGGCAGCAGUAGGGAAUAUUGGGCAAUGGACGCAAGUCUGACCCAGCCACGCCGCGUGAAGGAUGACGGCCCUAUGGGUUGUAAACUUCUUUUGUAUGGGAAGAAACCCCUCUACGUGUAGAGGGCUGACGGUACCAUAAGAAUAAGCAUCGGCUAACUCCGUGCCAGCAGCCGCGGUAAUACGGAGGAUGCAAGCGUUGUCCGGAUUCAUUGGGUUUAAAGGGUGCGUAGGCGGAGAAUUAAGUCAGUGGUGAAAGCUUGCAGCUUAACUGUGAAAAUGCCAUUGAAACUGAUUUUCUUGAGUUCGAUUGAGGUAGAUGGAAUGUAUCAUGUAGCGGUGAAAUGCUUAGAUAUGAUACAGAACACCAAUUGCGAAGGCAGUCUACUAAGUCGAUACUGACGCUGA
rnacentral:rRNA from 1 species